UACGGAGGGAGCUAGCGUUGUUCGGAAUUACUGGGCGUAAAGCGCACGUAGGCGGCCGAUUAAGUCGGAUGUGAAAGCCCCGGGCUCAACCCGGGAAGUGCAUACGAAACUGGUCGGCUUGAAUAUGGAAGAGGGUCGCGGAAUUCCCGGUGUAGAGGUGAAAUUCGUAGAUAUCGGGAGGAACACCAGUGGCGAAGGCGGCAUCCUGGACCAAUACUGACGCUGAGGAGCGAAAGCCAGGGGAGCAAACGGG
rnacentral:rRNA from 1 species